rnacentral:rRNA from 1 species
CAGCCUACGGGACGCAGCAGUGGGGAAUAUUGCACAAUGGGGGAAACCCUGAUGCAGCGACGCCGCGUGAGUGAAGAAGUAUUUCGGUAUGUAAAGCUCUAUCAGCAGGGAAGAAGAAGGACGGUACCUGAGUAAGAAGCCCCGGCUAACUACGUGCCAGCAGCCGCGGUAAUACGUAGGGGGCAAGCGUUAUCCGGAUUUACUGGGUGUAAAGGGAGCGUAGACGGCGAAGAAAGUCUGAAGUGAAAGCCCGC